GACGAACGCUGGCGGCGUGCUUAACACAUGCAAGUCGAACGGGAAGGCCCGGCCUUGGUGGGCUGGUCCAGUGGCGAACGGGUGAGUAACACGUGAGUAACCUGCCCCUGACUUUGGGAUAACCUCAGGAAACUGGGGCUAAUACCGGAUAAGAGCUACCGCUGCAUGGUGGGGGUUGGAAAGUUUUGGCGGUUGGGGAUGGACUCGCGGCCUAUCAGCUUGUUGGUGGGGUAGUGGCUUACCAAGGCAUGGACGGGUAGCCGGCCUGAGAGGGUGACCGGCCACAUUGGGAUUGAGAUAAGGCCCAGACUACUACGGGAGGCAGCAGUGGGGAAUAUUGCACAAUGGGCGGAAGCCUGAUGCAGCAACGCCGCGUGGGGGAUGACGGGCUUCGGGUUGUAAACCGCUUUCGCCUGUGACGAAGCGAGAGUGACGGUAAUGGGUGAAGAAGCACCGGCUAACUACGUG
rnacentral:rRNA from 1 species